GAUGAAGAACGUAGCGAAAUGCGAUAAGUAAUGCGAAUUGCAGAAUUCAGUGAAUCAUCGAAUCUUUGAACGCACAUUGCGCCCGCCAGUAUUCUGGCGGGCAUGCCUGUCUGAGCGUCGUUUCGACCCUCGCGCCCGGCUUCUGUCGGGGGCGGUGUUGGGGAUCGGCCACACCCUUCAGUGGGAGGCCGGCCCCUAAAUUCAGUGGCGACCACGCUGUAGCCUCCCCUGCGUAGUACUAAAACCACCUCGCAGGCGGAGAGUGGUGCGGCCCGCCGUAAAACCCCCCAACUUUUACAAGGUCGACCUCAGAUCAGGUAGGAAUACCCGCUGAACUUAAGCAUAUCAAUAAGCGGAGGA
rnacentral:misc_RNA from 1 species